AGAAACAGCAACAAAAGAUCCCUCCUGGUGAUGCUUUGUGAAGGGAGCUCAGCUGGCACUGCUGGGAUUUGUACCUGGCUGUGAUCAGUGUCUGCCAUGGCCUCUGGUUGCCAGCCCGCCCCUCAGGCAUCCACGUCCGUACUUCCCUGGGAGGGCCCCCGGGCGCUGCACAGGACAGUUACAGGAACACGCCCUUUAUAUUGAGCGUUCGUCGAACCCGACGCUUGCAAAAGUUGUUACUCCUGGGUUUCAUCAGUGUAAGCUGUGAUCCCAAAUCGAUAUGGAAUCCCAAGUCAAGGAGGAAUUCUGUGUCAUUCAGACAAGGUCGGCUAAAACUCCUCCGGGAAUUUCACCUCGUUUCUCCUACUGCUUAGGUGGUCCAGCUGGAGGACGUUGCUUUGUCACUUUGUCACUGGGAAUUACUUCCACCCUUACAAAUUUUCAUUAGCGAACUCACUGGUCUUGAGAAAAUAUCCAUUGGAGGAUUUUCUUUAAUGUAUUCUGUGAUCAGUUUAAAUUCUAUCUUAACAAGAGGAAAGUAUGUCUCUCAAUAAUUUUUUAGUUUUUAAAUAAACAAACAAUAGUCUUACUGUAGUUUUCUAGCUGAUGCCCAGCUAUCUUUGGAAUCCAGGACCCAGAAAUCUCACCAUAAGCCUGUGUUUUCUGGGACUGUCUUCUUUAACUUGUGCAAACAGAAUCUCAGAAUCAUUAAGAUUGGAAAAGACCUGUAAGAUCAAGUCCAAUCUUUGACUGACCACCACAAUGUCAACUAAACCAUAGCACUAAGUACUAUGCCCAGACAUUUCUUGAACACCUCCAGUGAUGGUGACCCAAUCUCCUCUGUGAGCAGUCCAUUCCAAUGUUUAAUAACCCUUUCUAUAAAGAAAUUCUUCCUGGUGUCCAACCUGAACCUCCCCUGGCACAGCUUGAGGCUGUGUCUUCUUGUGCUGUCACUGGUUGCUGGGGAGAAGAGGCUGACCCUCACCUGGCCCCAGCCUCCCUCCAGGCAGCUGAGGAGAGGGAAGUGUUGUGGUGAGGGAAUAAUGCCUGGGACACAAAACCAUAGGAGCAGAAAUUGUGUCUAAACCUUGCAUAAGCUUGUACAUUCGACUUAACAUAGGUUCAUACAUAAAAGUUGACAUGCAGGGGAUUCUCUGUGAACAUCUGUACUCAGUUAUGCAGAUGGUACUGCUGAGAAAUAUUUCAAAGAGCACAUGCAGGGCUGCCUGAUUACAUUGUGCUGUAGAAGCCAUGAGCACCAGGCUGUGUUACCAUAUAUGGACACUGGUUUCAUUUUUACUAAACUGACUGUGAUAAAAAACAUGAGCACUGAUGCAAAGACCUUUUAAAAAAUUCUGGCAAUGGAUGUGGUAAUGAAGAAUAUGCUUUACACCUGAAGCAGGAAAUUAUUUACAUAUUAUGUUUCACAGAAAUCAACUCCACAAGCUCGUACCGAUGUAAAGGUGUUAACCUGUUUUCAAAAAUCACAUACAUUCCCAGGAAAUCAUCUGCUUUAUAAUCCUCAGUGACUCUGGAGGAAGAAAAAGAAUGUAUGCCUUUGAUUUCAGUGGGACUGUCCACGCAUGGAUCACAGAUGGAAAAAGUAGAGCAGAAAAUUGCUUUGCCCAAAGCCACACACUGGCAGUAAUUGGACUAGAAGACAGCAUUGGUUUAAAUGGAAAAUGUGCAAUAUAUUCAUAGUAUUUGGGCUAUUCUAACUGCUGUUUCUUUCUCUUGUCCACAUACACCAUUUACUUUUCAGCUGUAAUUGCAUGGCACUUCUGGUAACAGAAUCUUUUGGGAAUCUCAGAAGAUUCCCAAGUUGAGUUGCUUUCAAGAAGCUUCAAGAAAUGAAGAAAGAAUAAACAAGAAAUACCAAAUUCAUCAAGUUUUGGGUGCUGUUUCCCCAAGAAAAACAUUAAGGAGGAAGCUCUGCUUUCUGUUUCUUGUCCAGCAAUUGUGACUCUGAUGUUUAGAAUAAAGCAGCUGGUGGAUCUCUCAGACAACCCAGUGCUGUCCCACAGUGCCGUGCAAUACAUUAGACAGUGAUGGUCAUUGUUUUAUUCCAUGUAUGGUCUUAAGGAUCAAGACACUGAAAACAAAAAUAGAUAGCCAUUUAUUAGAUGCUAAUUGAGAUGCAAAGAAUUUAAGAAAUCAAGUCAGUCACAACAGAGUUUUGUGGUAGACCUCAGGUAAUGAAUGCCUGUGCAUUUGUGGAGACCACUGUAGUCCUCUGUGGCAUACUGCUACUCCAGCUUCCAAAGAGAAACCAUGUGUUUGAAGGAGUCCAUAGAGAAGACAGGAACAGAAACUAAAAGCAAAAAAUAACGGAAGCUUAAAAGAGUCAUCCCUCCUUCUCCAAAAAAGCUGUUUUUCUACCAGAGGUGAGACAGAGCUCCAGCAGAUCGUACUUUUAAAUCCAAGUAGAUGUGAAACUUUGUUCUCGAAGAGGAGCUAAAGAGCAGUUAUUGCACUGAGUCACAAUGAAGAAUUUUUGUGGAGCUUUUGUGGUAAAUGAGAUCAGACAUCACAGAUGCAUUAAAAGACCUGGCGAAAAGCACCACAAAGGCUGGCUGAUAUCCAGCAGCCCAUCAAGUGGCUGCCAUUUCAACAUGGGGAAGAAACUGUCUGCAGAAACUGUUAUGUUCAAAAUCUUGUUACAGGCAAAAAGAAAUCCACCCUAUGUUUAGAGUCACACCAAAUUUAUUUUAAUUGAAACCAUAGCAAUUUAAUAAAAGAAUGAUUAUCAGUCCAAAUAUAAUUAUUGCAGAAAAACAAAGCAAAUAAAAAGAAAGAAAAUGUACAGAAGGUCUCAGUAAUAAAACUAUGGUAAGAAUUGUUAUGCAUGCACUAUUUAGUACUUACCCUCACCCUCUUCCUGGUGUCAUGCGUGACCUUUCACCUCCUUGUGGUUCCACCUUGUAGAGGGAGCAGAGUGGAUCAUCAGCAUCUGGAGUUCUGCGCCUGCAGGAAUAGAAUGUUGAUGUUUCUGAUUUCUUCUUUC